rnacentral:rRNA from 3 species
CACCUCUAGCAUUACAAGUAUUAGAGGCACUGCCUGCCCAGUGAGCUUUAACUUAAACGGCCGCGGUAUCCUGACCGUGCAAAGGUAGCAUAAUCACUUGUCUCUUAAAUCGAGACUAGUAUGAAUGGCUUAACGAGGGUUCAACUGUCUCCUAUUCUUGAUCAGUGAAAUUGACCUCCCCGUGCAGAGGCGGGGAUAUCCAUAUAAGACGAGAAGACCCUGUGGAGCUUAAGAUCCAUGUCUUAAUUAAUCAAAAAAUACUCCUCAGGGUCUCAAAUCUACAGCAACUAAGACAUAGACCUUUGGUUGGGGUGACCUCGGAGCACAAAACAACCUCCGAAUGAAUAUAACCAAGAUUAACCAAUCUAAGUGUAUAAAAACCAGUAAUUGACCCAAAUAUUGAUCAACGGAACAAGUUACCCCAGGGAUAACAGCGCAAUCCUACUUAAGAGCCCAUAUCGACACUAGGGUUUACGACCUCGAUGUUGGAUCAGGACAUCCCAAUGGUGCAACCGCUAUUAAAGGUUCGUUUGUUCAACGAUUAAAGUCCU